GACGAACGCUGACGGUGUGCUUUAGACAUGCAAGUCGAACGAGAAAGCCCUUCGGGGUGAGUAAAGUGGCGAACGGGUGAGUAACACGUGGGCAACCUGCCCCUCGCCGGGGGAUAACCGGGGGAAACCCCAGCUAAUACCCCGUACGCUUACGGGAUCGCAUGAUCCCGUAAGGAAAGGUAGCUUCGGCCAUCCGGCGAGGGAUGGGCCCGCGGUACAUUAGCUAGUUGGUGGGGUAACGGCUCACCAAGGCGACGAUGUAUAGCUGGUCUGAGAG
rnacentral:rRNA from 1 species